rnacentral:rRNA from 1 species
AGUGAACGCUGGCGGUAGGCCUAACACAUGCAAGUCGAACGGCAGCACAGUAAGAGCUUGCUCUUACGGGUGGCGAGUGGCGGACGGGUGAGGAAUACAUCGGAAUCUACUUUUUCGUGGGGGAUAACGUAGGGAAACUUACGCUAAUACCGCAUACGACCUACGGGUGAAAGCAGGGGAUCUUCGGACCUUGCGCGAUUGAAUGAGCCGAUGUCGGAUUAGCUAGUUGGCGGGGUAAAGGCCCACCAAGGCGACGAUCCGUAGCUGGUCUGAGAGGAUGAUCAGCCCCACUGGAACUGGGACACGGUCCAGACUCCUACGGGAGGCAGCAGUGGGGAAUAUUGGACAAUGGGCGCAAGCCUGAUCCAGCCAUACCGCGUGGGUGAAGAAGGCCUUCGGGUUGUAAAGCCCUUUUGUUGGGAAAGAAAAGCAGCAGGUUAAUACCCCGCUGUUCUGACGGUACCCAAAGAAUAAGCACCGGCUAACUUCGUG